AUUGAACGCUGGCGGCGUGCUUAACACAUGCAAGUCGAUCGGUAACAGGUGUAGCAAUACAUGCUGACGAGAGGCGGACGGGUGAGUAAUGCUUGGGAAUCUGCCUAUUAGUGGGGGACAACCCGGGGAAACUCGGGCUAAUACCGCAUACGCUCUACGGAGGAAAGCCGGGGACCGCAAGGCCUGGCGCUAAUAGAUGAGCCCAAGUCGGAUUAGCUAGUUGGUAGGGUAACGGCCUACCAAGGCGACAAUCCGUAGCUGGUCUGAGAGGACGACCAGCCACACCGGAACUGAGACACGGUCCGGACUCCUACGGGAGGCAGCAGUGGGGAAUAUUGGACAAUGGGGGCAACCCUGAUCCAGCGACGCCGCGUGGGUGAAGAAGGCCUGCGGGUUGUAAAGCCCUUUCGGUGGGGAAGAAAAGUCUCGACCUAAUACGUCGGGACCUUGACGUAACCCACUAAAGAAGCACCGGCUAACUCUGUGCCAGCCGCCGCAGUAAG
rnacentral:rRNA from 1 species